rnacentral:rRNA from 1 species
UACGGGGGGGGCAAGCGUUGUUCGGAAUUACUGGGCGUAAAGGGCUCGUAGGCGGCCAACUAAGUCGGAUGUGAAAUCCCCAGGCUUAACUUGGGAACUGCAUCCGAUACUGGAUGGCUUGAAUCCGGGAGAGGGAUGCGGAAUUCCAGGUGUAGCGGUGAAAUGCGUAGAUAUCUGGAGGAACACCGAUGGCGAAGGCAGCCUCCUGGGCCAACACUGACGCUCAUGCACGAAAGCGUGGGGAGCAAACAGG